rnacentral:rRNA from 1 species
UACGAAGGGGCUAGCGUUGCUCGGAAUCACUGGGCGUAAAGCGCACGUAGGCGGACUCUUAAGUCAGGGUGAAUCCUGGAGCUCAACUCCAGAACUGCCUUUGAUACUGGGAGUCUUGAGUUCGGGAGAGGUGAGUGGAAAACUGCGAGUGUAGAGGUGAAAAUUCGUAGAUAUUCGCAAAGAACACCAGUGGCGAAGGGCGGCUCACUGGCCCGAUACUGACGCUGAGGGUGCGAAAGCGUGGGGAGCAAAACAGGG